rnacentral:rRNA from 1 species
UACGUAGGGUGCGAGCGUUGUCCGGAAUUAUUGGGCGUAAAGAGCUCGUAGGCGGCCUGUCGCGUCGGAUGUGAAAGCCCGGGGCUUAACCCCGGGUCUGCAUUCGAUACGGGCAGGCUAGAGUUCGGUAGGGGAGAUCGGAAUUCCUCGGUGUAGCGGUGAAAUGCGCAGAUAUCAGGAGGAACACCGAUGGCGAAGGCAGCUCUCUGGGACGGUACUGACGCUGAGACGCGAAGGCGUGGGAGCGAACAGG